rnacentral:lncRNA from 1 species
GGCGGCGAGCGGAUGCUCUGCAGUUUUUUGCGCCUCUGAUGGGUACCGAAAGUGAGGUGCGAUGGAGUGACGACCUGAGAACAGGGCUUGGCCUGAGAACUGAGGAAGGGGGCUUGGCCUCGAGAAGAUUGUUAGAAGCGCUCAACUGUUUAUGCUUCCUCACCGAGAGAAUUCACAAGAAGAAUUUCCCAACACGUACGCAAACCAGUGUCUUGCUAUAUAGACUACCCUCUUCUGGUCUUCGUCAUCAUCUUUCAGCUUCCUGAGUGCCAGGAUUAUAGGAAGGAGCCACUACAUUCAGCCAGUCAGUUUAAAUAGAGUUCCACCUUUCCCCAGCCAAUGACAAGGCCCAUUAAUGAAUCUCAGAACUGCUCCCACGAGACUGUUCCUUUGUGUGCCCUGUCACACUGAUAUGGCCUUGCCUUUACAUCAACUCAGGAACAUACAGGCAUGGUGCUUCCUGCCUCAUGCUCUGUGCUCCCAGCCCAUGCUGUUGACAGUGUUGGGAACUUGAACCCACAGCCUUACACACACUAAGCAAGCAUGGUGCCACUGAGCUACAUCCCCAGGUCUCAGAAUGUGACUUUUAAAAGCAUCUGCUGCUCACAGGUCCAAACACAGUAGGAAGAACAGCCCCAAGAUGGCCGAUGGACAACCACCUCCAGAUUGAUUUCUUAGGAAUACAUGGCAAGGAUAAAAAUGGAAGUCAUCUUUUCCCAGGAGGCCUACUGGUAAGAACUCUCAGGCUAUCUUACUGGAGAAUGUGCUGACACACUGCUCCUGGACCCUUUUCUCAAAAGAACACAAGCCAGAAAGACAUCACUGAGCCCUCUACCAGACACAGCAGGAAAGAAAAAGCCUGUCAGCACUAGAGAGAGUUAAUAUUCAAACCAGUAGAAGGGGAAGGCUUCUCAAAUAAUCCAACAAAUCCCAUGCAAUCCCCACUUUUCCUGGUCUGAUAUGGAAUCAGCUCAUUUCAUAGUCGUAUUGUCACUAUAAUACCAAGAGACAACAGAAAAGGUGUGAGAACAGACUGUAUGCACUUCUAUGUAACCAAAGAGAUCUUUAUAUUAGCAUCACCCUCUCCUUUAUGGAUAUUAUAUGUUAUUUUUUGUUGUAAUCAUGUUUUAGGUUAAAUUUAAACAACUCCAACUUUU